AACGAACGCUGGCGGCAUGCCUAACACAUGCAAGUCGAACGAGAUCUUCGGGUCUAGUGGCGCACGGGUGCGUAACGCGUGGGAAUCUGCCCUUUGGUUCGGAAUAACAGUUGGAAACGACUGCUAAUACCGGAUGAUGACGAAAGUCCAAAGAUUUAUCGCCAGAGGAUGAGCCCGCGUAGGAUUAGCUAGUUGGUGUGGUAAAGGCGCACCAAGGCGACGAUCCUUAGCUGGUCUGAGAGGAUGAUCAGCCACACUGGGACUGAGACACGGCCCAGACUCCUACGGGGGGCAGCAGUGGGGAAUAUUGGACAAUGGGCGAGAGCCUGAGCCAGCAAUGCCGCGUGAGUGAUGAAGGCCUUAGGGUUGUAAAGCUCUUUUACCCGGGAUGAUAAUGACAGUACCGGGAGAAUAAGCUCCGGCUAACUCCGUGCCAGCCGCCGCCGUAA
rnacentral:rRNA from 1 species